ensembl:lncRNA
CCAGCUUUGGAGCGGACUGCACUUGCUGAGAAAUGUGCUUCUGAUGUUAACAUACUGCAAAGGGGCGAUGCCAUAGAACAAGGUGCCUAACUCUGCUCCUGAGAGGAAGAGGGGCCAGCUGCUGAUGAAGGAGCUCAGAGAUGCGUGUUCUCGCUGAAGAGUUUAACCUGAGCAGCCGGGGGUGUGCCUCUGGAUCCAUAAAUGAGACUAAAGCGAUGGGAGAAAGGAAAAUACAAGGGGCUGAGGGCCAUCUACAACGUUGUCUCCAGAGGAAAUAAGCACAAGCUAGUCUGAAGUGGUGAAACGCUACAACUCCAACGCUCCUCUACAGGAAACCCCUCCGUAAGUGCAUAUGCUGUGGCCGGAAUGGAAUGAUCACUGGUUGGAGUGAAAUCUCCAGCUAACGUGAAAAAAAGAUCAACAAUUUUUUGGAUUCGACUCUGGACAUCUUUUGCACCUUGUCUACAAAACAGAAACAGCUGACUAUCCUGCCAGAAUACUGUGAGGCUCAGUCCAGCCUAGUAGAAACUAAAAGUGACAUCCCAAGCU